rnacentral:rRNA from 1 species
UACGUAGGUGGCAAGCGUUGUCCGGAUUUAUUGGGUUUAAAGGGUGCGUAGGCGGCCCUGUAAGUCAGUGCUGAAAUAUCCCAGCUUAACUGGGGGGGUGGCAUUGAUACUGCGGGGCUAGAGUACAGAUGAGGUAGGCGGAAUUGACGGUGUAGCGGUGAAAUGCUUAGAUAUCGUCAAGAACACCUAUAGCGAAGGCAGCUUACUAGGCUGUAACUGACGCUGAGGCACGAAAGUGUGGGGAUCAAACAGG